AUCCGAGCUGAGAGCCGCCCUCCUGUGGCGGCGCCGGGCAUUGCGGCGGAGAGACCCCCUCUUUUUGAGUGGCUGACAUGUUCUUUCGGCCCCUUGGUCCCUCGCAUGCGGGGUUAGUGCCCUCCUUCUCGGGGGCAGGCUAGGCAUUCCCUGCCCCAGUCCCUGGAGACGAGUUCCCUGGCACUUGAGCAGCCUUCUUCUGCGCCCUCGCCCCCGGCCUGCAGGCUGUAACCAGGGUCCAGGUCCCCUUGAUUGUCCAGGUCCGGUCUCGUUGCACUUGGUGAGGUUGGCCAGAGACGAUAGCCACAAAUUACAGGGAAGGUGGCAGGCUGCUGGAGGAUGUAGAGUGUGUUGGGACCCCGAGGCUUAGCGACCUUCCUGUAACUCAGGUCCAGGUCUCUGCUUCUCUGUUUGGCUGCUCCUGGCGCUAUGAGAUGGCCUCCCCCCGCACCCUGUAAACAGGGCUGCACCCCCACCCCCUCUGCCCUUGGGGGAGGAGGCCUCCUUUAGCCCUUGGGGCUCUGUGGCUUCCGUGGUGGGAGGCUGAAGUCGUGGCCCAUAUGUCCCCAGACAUGGGGCAGCUUGGACCUCUGAUUGAGACUGCCUGGGGCACUCGUCAGCUGGCAUUCAGGUCUUUGCAGUUUUUCUCCGGGCUUCAUGCCCCAGCCGCCAGCUGCGUGUGGGGAGCACUGCCCUGUAAGCAGGGUUUUCAGUGUUUGUAGUCACUGCUCGUGGUGCUGCCCUAGCAGCUCUGUCCAGAGUUCUGGCCUGUCACCCUCUGCUUCUGGCCGGCCCGGAUGUCGGGAGCCGAGCCCGCAGCCGCCUGCCCUCCCCCAUCUCCGCGGAUAGAGGACGGCUUGGCAGCAGAUUCAGGCCUCGGUAGCAGAAGCAGGAAAGAUGACACAGGAGCAGGAGUCAGCUGACAAGGGGGGAAGAAAACCAUGCCAGCCCAGGAAAGCUGCAGCAGGACAAACAGCGGGCAAGCCGUGACAGGUGAAAAGGCAGCCAACUGGGAUGUGAAGGAAAGGGACUCUGGACAGAGCGACCU